GAUGAACGCUGGCGGCGUGCCUAAUACAUGCAAGUCGAGCGAACAGACGAGGAGCUUGCUCCUCUGACGUUAGCGGCGGACGGGUAAGUAACACGUGGAUAACCUACCUAUAAGGCUGGGAUAACUUCGGGAAACCGGAGCUAAUACCGGAUAAUAUAUUGAACCGCAUGGUUCAAUAGUGAAAGACGGUUUUGCUGUCACUUAUAGAUGGAUCCGCGCCGCAUUAGCUAGUUGGUAAGGUAACGGCUUACCAAGGCGACGAUGCGUAGCCGACCUGAGAGGGUGAUCGGCCACACUGGAACUGAGACACGGUCCAGACUCCUACGGGAGGCAGCAGUAGGGAAUCUUCCGCAAUGGGCGAAAGCCUGACGGAGCAACGCCGCGUGAGUGAUGAAGGUCUUCGGAUCGUAAAACUCUGUUAUUAGGGAAGAACAAAUGUGUAAGUAACUAUGCACGUCUUGACGGUACCUAAUCAGAAAGCCACGGCUAACUACGUG
rnacentral:rRNA from 1 species